rnacentral:rRNA from 1 species
UACAGAGGUCUCAAGCGUUGUUCGGAUUCAUUGGGCGUAAAGGGUGCGUAGGCGGCGCGGUAAGUCGGGUGUGAAAUCUUGGAGCUUAACUCCGAAACUGCAUUCGAUACUGCCGUGCUUGAGGACUGGAGAGGAGACUGGAAUUUACGGUGUAGCAGUGAAAUGCGUAGAUAUCUGGAGGAACACCGGUGGCGAAGGCGGCAUCCUGGACCGAUACUGACACUGAGGAGCGAAAGCCAGGGGAGCAAACGGG